rnacentral:rRNA from 1 species
GAUGAACGCUGGCGGCGUGCUUAACACAUGCAAGUCGAACGGAAAGGCUCCUGCUUGCAGGGGUACUCGAGUGGCGAACGGGUGAGUAACACGUGGGUGAUCUGCCCUGCACUUCGGGAUAAGCCCGGGAAACUGGGGCUAAUACCGGAUAGGACGACGGGCUGGAUGCCAUUGUGGAAAGUGUUUCGGUGUGGGAUGAGCUCGCGGCCUAUCAGCUUGUUGGUGGGGUAGUGGCCUACCAAGGCGUCGACGGGUAGCCGGCCUGAGAGGGUGGCCGGCCACAUUGGGACUGAGAUACGGCCCAGACUCCUACGGGAGGCAGCAGUGGGGAAUAUUGCACAAUGGGCGCAAGCCUGAUGCAGCGACGCCGCGUGGGGGAUGACGGCCUUCGGGUUGUAAACUCCUUUCGCUAGGGACGAAGCGCGAGUGACGGUACCUGGUGAAGAAGCACCGGCUAACUACGUG